CCGCCGGUAGUGUAGUGGUUAUCGCACCAGACUGGUAUUCUGGAGGUCGUGGGUUCGAUCCCACCCUGGCGGG
rnacentral:tRNA from 1 species